UCUUCUUAUUUGGACUGACACCUGGGGAAGAGCUCUGCAGAGGGAGGAGGGCAAAUCCUCAUUAACCAUCUGUUAAGUGCUUGAGAUUAUAAAGUCACCGGGGGUAAUAUUUAAUAUUACUUACCAUGCAGAACCUACUUUAGUCAAGAUAAAUAACGGAGUUUUAAACAGGGAGAAGAGUUGUUUUAUUGAAAGGGCUUUUGAAAGGGUUAUAGUUACAGGUAGUUCAAAAAUGUUGACAAGUAAGGUUGGCACAGCUGAACAUUUGAGACCUGUCAGAGCUAACAGAUUCAGAGCAUGACACAUCGGAUUGAAGGGAGCUGAAAUGUAUUCAGUGGAUGCGCUUUUUUCUCCAGAUCGGUUGGCUGGGCUUUGCACAGGGUGAAAAUAAGUAUUCUGUGUGCUGCCUGUCACAGUCUGAUGCCCUCAUAUUGGAUGUGAUCUGGGUUUUACAUUUCAGAGUUUCCCACCGACUCCUUUUGUUUUCUAUCGUGAGCGUGCUGGGAUAGAGGUAUAAGACCUUAGAGUUCCAACCCGGGUUUCUAAGUCCAAAUUCACCCCUCCAGGGAAGAUCUUUUGGAUUUAUCAAUCAGAAUUCUGGCAGGAGGCCCAGGACCCAUCAGAUCAGAUUCUGAAGACAGUGUAAUGAAGGGAUGAUUUACAAGGGUAAAUGUGUUCAGGGUUUAGGAAGUCGAUAGGGGAUGCUGAGGCAUCCGGGGACUAGUAACUGUGGCAACUGGGAGCCCAUUUCCAUUUGUAGACCCUUGGGAGGUAAAAGCUGGAACCACAGAGAAGUGGCUGGCCUAGAAAGUCCUUUAGUCCCACGGAUGCAGCCUCCUCUGGAACCAGAGGAGAGAAGAGAGCUGGGGAAGCAAUACCCAGAAUUCUGUCUGCUACCACCACAGAGGCUCCUUCUGGUGCAUCCCAUUGACAGAACUUAAUAGAAAGUAAGAAGGCAAGGUAGCCAGGAGGAUGACAUCAUAGAGGGGUCCCCAAGAACACAGUGCAGAGAAUGCAAAAGGGUGAGGUGGAAAAUGAGGCUAACAAGUGCGGUGGAUAAGGCUGGAUAGAAGAGUGUCAUGAAUAAUCCAGCCCCCUUUUGGACAUUGUUCUGAAGAGAUAAGCUUACCUGGUCAGGACACAAUGCAAGUGAACCGAGACUCUUCUCUUUGGCUUUACAUGAAGAUUAUGGGAAAAAGCCAGUUCCAAAAAGAUGAUGAUAUUCUUCAGUGGUAUAUUACAGAAGAAAUAUUGCAAUCUUCAUUCAUUGCAAGAAAACUGAGGCACAGACAAGUAAAGUAACCUGCUGGAAACCCAGAGCAUGUAAGUCAUGGAUCAGAGCUGGAGUUCUAACUCAGAUGUUUGCCCCUGCACUUCCCACUCUCGACUACUAUGCUAUUUGGAGCCUGACAAAGGGGAAGAGAAAGGAAAGAAAGAAUGACAUUCCACACAGGAGGAGGGAUAUGAAGUGAGGUGCAGACAUGAGAAGUUUACAAAACUCUAUAAGCUGGAAUUGGACGAGACUGAGAGAGCAUGGAGCCUAAUUUUUGAAAAGAAAAACGUCUGAGAGGAACACGAUUCUGAAAUACAGUACCAAAUACACAAGCAGUCGAUGGAAAACCAGCACUGCUGAAGAGGAACCAAAAUGAAUGAAUGGCAAAUCUUCUUUUGACAUUUCUAUCACCUUUCUGCCUUCGUUAAUUUUCCUCUUCCUCAGCAUAAGAUGAUACAUAGGAAUGUCAACAACUUGCCAUGUAUUUCCAUCUCCAAAGAUGUGCCUUUCAUCAAUCUGCUGCUUACAAUCCAACUGACUUGAGAUCUACAUCCCAAGAAAUGGAUAAUUUAUCAUAAAAAUGAAGAAGGGAAAUAAUUCAAAGACUUCAGGUCCAGUGAUUAAGGACAGUGCUCAUUUAAAUGUCUUCAAAUGGCUUCUGUUGACCAAAAACUAAUGUUCUAACAGUUUUAAUUUUGAAGACAAGCUUUGGAAUAAAGUGACAAUCCAUUGACAAAACAUAGCUGAGUAUCUUGAGCAAAAAUUUAAACUUUGUUUUUAUAAAAGAAAGGUCAAGGAAGUAGUUAAAUUAGGCAAUUAUUUUUUACUGAUUAAUUGGUUAUUAACUCUUUCUUUUUCAAUUCUUGGGUACCCUACCCUUGAAUCUGCAAAACUUUUCUACUUUUUAUGUCCUUUCUUAUGACAAAUAGCAUGUGACCUCUAAUUCUGUGGCUGGCUCCCAGCUGGAUGAUAGAUGAAUAGGUUUCUAUCCAUAUGAAUAAUGUCGAGAGAGAACAAGAUUCCAGAGAAAGUUGGUGAAAUCGAAUGAAAGUGGUAGAUCAGAGAUAAAUGAGGUAAAGAAUGGGAAAACAGUAGAAAUAAUCAAUAAGCCCAAGGCUGAUUCUUUGUAAAGAAUAAUAAAACUGACAAACUCCCAGCAUGUCCGAUCUCAAGGAUAAGUGAGCAGACGCAGUUAAGGAAUUCUUUGAACAAAUGGGAUCGAAACACAGACAACAGUUGAAGCACAUUUACUCCAGAAGUGUAUUUUUAAAGUGGAGUCAGCUUAUCACUGACAUGUCAACAACAGGGGUCUGGUGGCCACAUCUAGUUUUACAGGUAAGAACCAAUCCUGCAGUUUCGUCUCAAACACCUCUGGAGCUUGAAACAUGUUCAUCUGGAUGAAUGGCCUGAGAAAGAGUUAACUUUUAUUAGUGACAGUGACCAGGACAGGCUUACCCUGAUGUGACCUCACAGUGCCAACUCCUCAUAAACCUUCGAAUCUUAAUGCCGUGAGCUUUCCACUGCUACUGAAAUUAUCUUUUUGUUUUAAUUAUUAAAUUGACUUCAAGACGUGAAGACCAAGUUCAUAUACACAGAUACGUGCUUAGAGAUAUUUAUCCCAAAUGAUAUGAUAAUGAGUGUUUACAAGCCAUUCAUUAGAAAUUCUGGAACCACGAAGAACAGUGGAGAAAAAGCUUUCAGUGGGCGAUUGUAGUUAGUUUAUCAUGAACAUUCGGGCUUAGGUGUGCAACUUGAGAACAGGUUAGGGUAAACUGAGCAAGAUCUAGAAGGCUCUGGGCAACUAGACACAUUUGGUGCCAGAAAUGAGAAAAGGGAUAUGGUCACAAGGAAAAGAUCUUGAAGCAAUAGGUGACAUCCUGUUUCAUCUAGCUCAGCUAUGACUUCAUGUAUAUUUUUGACCCUGGUAAAUAUGUGCUAUGUAAAAUUAUAUAAGUUAAAAAUGUGUGUUUUUCAUUAUUUGUGAGUAAUGCAGAAAGUCAAUAACCACAGUCAUUUGUAAUUUUCCUGAGUUGAGAUGUAAAUCCAAAUGGUUGAGCAUGGGACUGAGACAUGAAGAGUCACUUAAGAGAAAUCCAGGCAGCUGUCACAUUCUCAUGUCAGGGAGGUCACUAUUUCCCUUAAUCAUCUUGUCAGCAAUAAUUCUUCUGAAAUGGUAUUUAGACAGUAGCCAAGAUUUAAAAGGAAGGAUUCUUAGUUGGAACAAAGAAGCUCGAGAUCUGUUAAAAAGAGGAUGUGCUUUUUUUAAUCAUAUUUUUCCUUCCCUGCCCUGAUGUUCAUCUAUUGAGUUUCUCAAAUGCCACAUAUGAGUGAAAUCAUAUGAUAUCUGCCUUUCUCUGCCUUAUUCCGCUUAGCAUAAUAC